AAAAAAAGGGGAAAGGGAGCCAUGCUUUGCAGAGCAUCGCUCACACUGGUAGAAUCCGCUACUCGCCCGCCGGAGUCCCCUGAUUGUCCAUCACUACACCGAGAUAACCGGGAAUAGGCCUACAAGCCGUUUGCUAACAACAAAACGAAUCACACCAAACAAUGAUGUGAAAGAAAAAAAAGCGAAUGGAUACACGACAAUACCAUGGGCUCGACCAUCUGGCCUGCGAGAGAGGGUGUUUGAUGGAGGGAUACGAAGUGGUUGAAGUCUACUCCUGACGCUUUUUUGCCAAAACAGACAUCCUUUGAAAAAGAUCAAAUGGCCCGUCCCCCUUUUUGCCUUCGGAGACGGAUUCGGACUAACCAUCAGUUUGAAUCUAGCCCCCAAAAACAGUGCUAGUGACGACUUUAACCCAUUAAGCACGGGUGUCACCAAGCUCAAUGGCCGCCGUCCUUCAAUGUUUAAUAGUUUUUUUUUCUAUCAAAUUACAUUCAAUUGUCAUGGUGGUGUAAUGUAUAUAGCCUACAUUUAUCAGUAGCUAUGAGAUGAUGUUUGAUAGUCUACAACAGUAACCUUCCAUUCCAGAAUGCCACUCCAACUUCAAAGAACACUGACAUCGCCACAUAACUAUUCGCAAUGAAGGUCUGAAAGAACGGGUGGUUAGUCUAUAUUGAACAAGGAAUAUUAUGGAAAAUGAAAAUGGAAAAGAAGGAUUGUUAUGGGUGAUUUUGGCCAAAUGUAGCACACGCACACACACACACACACACUGAGUGUUCUGAGGUUCUGGUUCUCCGUGUUCACAGCGGACCUUGAUUUAAUGUCUUACAAUUAAGGCACGCGGUGAAUGCCAAGAGCGGAGCCUGCUGUCAUCUACGCGAGCGCACACAGCUUUCACUAAAACGACAUACUAAAGCGAUAACGGAAAAGGUUUGUGUCUGCAAUUGUUGUCUGCAAAUUCCCCUGUAGUCUAUGUUGUAUCGUUUUCUUUUUUUCAGAGUAAAUAAAGCACACAAUACUACCA